rnacentral:rRNA from 1 species
UACGUAGGGUGCAAGCGUUGUCCGGAAUCAUUGGGCGUAAAGAGCGUGUAGGCGGCCUCGUAAGUCCGCUGUGAAAGUCCAGGGCUCAACCCUGGGAUGCCGGUGGAUACUGCGAGGCUAGAGUCCGGAAGGGGCGAGUGGAAUUCCUGGUGUAGCGGUGAAAUGCGCAGAUAUCAGGAGGAACACCAAUGGCGAAGGCAGCUCGCUGGGGCGGUACUGACGCUGAGACGCGAAAGCGUGGGGAGCAAACAGG